rnacentral:rRNA from 1 species
UUCGGGUUGUAAACUGCUUUUGUACGGAACGAAACGGCGAGCUCUAAUACAGUUUGCUAAUGACGGUACCGUAAGAAUAAGCACCGGCUAACUACGUGCCAGCAGCCGCGGUAAUACGUAGGGUGCGAGCGUUAAUCGGAAUUACUGGGCGUAAAGCGUGCGCAGGCGGUUAUGUAAGACAGAUGUGAAAUCCCCGGGCUCAACCUGGGACCUGCAUUUGUGACUGCAUAGCUAGAGUACGGUAGAGGGGGAUGGAAUUCCGCGUGUAGCAGUGAAAUGCGUAGAUAUGCGGAGGAACACCGAUGGCGAAGGCAAUCCCC